CCUACGGGAGGCAGCAGUAGGGAAUAUUGCUCAAUGGGGGAAACCCUGAAGCAGCAACGCCGCGUGGAGGAUGAAGGUUUUCGGAUUGUAAACCUCUUUUGCCGGGGAGCAAAAAGCGGUACGUGUACCGCAUCGAGAGUACCCGGAGAAAAAGCAUCGGCUAACUCCGUGCCAGCAGCCGCGGUAAUACGGAGGAUGCGAGCGUUAUCCGGAUUUAUUGGGUUUAAAGGGUGCGCAGGCGGCGAGUUAAGUCAGCGGUAAAAUUUCGGGGCUCAACCCCGACGAGCCGUUGAAACUGGCUUGCUAGAGUGGGCGAGAAGUAUGCGGAAUGCGUGGUGUAGCGGUGAAAUGCAUAGAUAUCACGCAGAACUCCGAUUGCGAAGGCAGCAUACCGGCGCCCAACUGACGCUCAGGCACGAAAGCGUGGGUAUCGAACAGGAUUAGAUACCCGUGUAGUC
rnacentral:rRNA from 1 species